GGGAAGAAGGAAGGGAGGGAGGGGCUUGGCUUGUCAGUAGAUUCUGAAAUGUGAGCAAGCAUAUCGAGAACAAUCUAAGUCAACCGUAUAAGUGCAUUGGCUCCCUUCAUUAAAAUUAUAUUAAAUUAAUAAGGACACAGAAACAGAGAGCAAUCCCGAUCCCGAUCCCGAUCCCCUACCCCCAUCCCAAUCCAGCAUGUUAGUGACGGCGACUGCGGCAACAGUGGCUUCGGCAUCUAAUAAGUGCUUUAGGGCUCAUAACAACCUCCACCUCCUUCGCCAUCACCACUCUAAUUAUUACAAAUACAAGAAUAAUAAUAAAAAUCCUCUCUUAUUUCUAUGCUGCUUCAACCAUUCCCUCCCCAAUCAUCAUCACACCCGAAGAUGCCGCCUCCUUCUUGGGCCGAGCAGCACCGACAGCAGCACUGCUCUUCACGCCAGUUUCCCCUUCCUAUCCAACACAUCAUACUCCACUCCUCCCUCAGGGAAUCCCAAUGCUUUCCUUUCCAGUUCCUCCUCCUCCUCGACUCCUUUCCGGCCACCGAACUCAAUGCUCAAUGGCCACGCUUUCUUCUCAACCUCAGAUCCAAAGGAUAAAGACGAUGAUGAUGCUGCCAAUAAAGCUUCAUCAUCACCAUCGAUUACGACUCCUGCUAUUGCUGAUAAAUCAGACCAGCAACUUGCUGACAUGAAAAUCUUACGGACUCUGGCCAGUUAUUUAUGGAUGAAAGAUAACCCUGAAUUUCGCUUAAGGGUGCUUCUGGCCCUUGGUUUCCUUUUGGUUGCUAAGGUUUUGAAUGUUCAAGUCCCUUUUCUUUUUAAGCUGGCUGUCGAUUGGUUGACUGUUGCUACAGGCAAUGCUACCGCUCUUGCUUCUUUCACCGCUGCUAAUUCCACUUUCCUUGCUCUCUUUGCUACCCCUGCUUCUGUUCUCAUUGGUUAUGGCAUUGCGCGCUGUGGAUCCUCUGCUUUCAAUGAAUUGAGGACUGCUGUGUUCUCUAAAGUAGCUCUGAGGACAAUCCGAACUGUGUCUGGGAAGGUUUUUUCACAUUUGCAUGAGCUUGACCUCCGUUUUCAUCUUAGUCGAGAAACUGGUGGGUUAAGUAGAAUAAUUGAUCGUGGUAGCCGAGCAAUAAACUUCAUCCUCUCAUCUAUGGUAUUCAAUGUUGUACCAACCAUUCUAGAGAUAUCUAUGGUUUCAAGUAUACUGGCAUACAAAUUUGGAGCCCCUUUCGCAUUGAUCACUUCGCUCUCAGUCGCUGCAUAUGUUACUUUCACAUUGUCUGUGACACAGUGGAGAACCAAGUUCAGGAAGGCCAUGAAUAAAGCUGAUAAUGAUGCUAGUACAAAGGCAAUUGAUUCCCUUAUCAAUUAUGAGACUGUCAAAUAUUUCAACAAUGAAGCUUAUGAAGCUGAGCAAUAUGAUGAGUACUUAAAGAGGUAUGAAGAUGCUGCCUUAAAAACAUCGCAAAGUCUUGCUUUUUUGAAUUUUGGCCAAAAUGUGAUUUUUAGCACAGCUCUGUCAACAGCUAUGGUUUUAUGUUCACAUGGAAUUAUGAAUAGCCAGAUGACUGUUGGUGAUUUGGUUAUGGUAAAUGGACUACUCUUCCAGCUCUCCCUUCCACUUAAUUUCCUUGGCAGUGUUUACCGUGAGACAAUACAGAGUCUUGUUGACAUGAAGUCAAUGUUUCACUUACUCGAGGAGAAACCUGAUAUUAGAGAUAAAGAUGAUGCCAAACCUCUAAUGUUAAAGGGAGGUGGCAUUCAAUUUGACAAUGUACACUUCAGCUACUUGGCAGAAAGAAAAAUUCUUGAUGGUGUAACUUUUUCUGUACCAGCUGGAAAAAGUGUGGCUAUUGUUGGAACAAGUGGUAGUGGCAAGUCAACCAUUCUUAGAUUACUCUUCAGGCUUUUCGACACUAUUUCUGGAAGUAUACAAAUUGAUGGUCAAGAUACAAGGGAUGUAACACUGGAUAGUUUGCGGAGGUCUAUUGGUGUUGUCCCACAAGACACAGUACUUUUCAAUGACACAAUAUUUCACAACAUUCAUUAUGGUCGUCUUUCAGCAACGAGAGAGGAAGUCUAUGAUGCUGCCCGACAUGCUGCAAUCCAUGACAUUGUCAUGAACUUCCCUGAUAAAUAUUCUACAAUAGUAGGAGAACGAGGGCUCAAGUUAAGUGGUGGUGAGAAGCAGCGUGUGGCUUUGGCCCGUGCAUUUUUGAAAGCCGCUCCUAUCAUGCUAUGUGAUGAAGCUACAAGUGCUCUUGACAGCACCACUGAAGCAGAGAUUCUAAAUGCAUUGAAAUCAUUAUCCAGCAAUCGAACUUCAGUUUUCAUUGCCCAUAGGCUUACAACUGCCAUGCAGUGUGAUGAGAUAAUAGUUCUGGAGAAUGGUAAAGUGGUUGAACAGGGACCCCAUGAAGUUCUAUUGACCAAGGCAGGUAGAUAUGCGCAGCUCUGGGCACAGCAAAAUAGCACAGUGGAUGCCCUUGAUUCAGCCAUUAAAUUGGAGGCAUAGAUGUUGCAAUCUUCCCUUGACCAUACAAAGCUUCAAGUUGUUCAGCUGCCAAUGUUGUUGACCUCCUAUGAAAUGCAACCUUGUUGUACAAGACCAAUUGAUGGUUGUCGUCCGUGGGUUCCAUCAUCAUAAUGAACAACCAAAGGGAUAAUAUCUGUUACGUCUUAGAAGAAAAGAAAGAAAGCAAUACCAUUUGAUGGAUGAAGACAAUUUCAACUGAGAUUAUGGGGUUAAGGGGGCAUACAAGAGUAGAAGAAGAAUGCUGAAAGAGGAGGGAACAGGUCAGAUUUAUGGGCUCGUGCAUGGACAAACCAGAAGGAGUGCAAGAAUAUGGGCUUUGGAGGAGAAAGCACACCAACUCUCCCUCCAAAGACGGCCUCAUAAGCCACCGCCAUCACCAUCAGCAUUAGAAAGUAAAAAGAAAAGGAGGGGCCGCAAACGCAAAAGCCUCCUCCUGUACAUGGGCGUUAAUUCUGUUGCUCCCCUCAUGAACCAGAAGGUCUGUCUCCCCCCCUUCUUUGCUUUUACUUUUAAGAAAAAUAUUUUGCUUACGAACUUAUAUGUCCUUUAUAUUUAAAAAAAAAAAAACAAAAUUAUUUACCUAUGAUAAAAAUUAAUGUGGUGAUAUUUGAUUGGAUUGGGCUCUCUUAUAGUCAGUCCCAUAUAGAUGUUUGGGCAAAUGGCUAUGGUAAAGACGAUGUAAGGCCGAGGCCCUUGGUUGUGAGGUCCAGCAUGUUAUCAUAUAUAUAUAUAUAAAACCUAAAAGGCAUAAGUGAUUCGGAGCAA